UGUUGCAGUGGUUUCCCCCGAGGGGGAAUGUGCCUCCUCACACGCUUGGCUGGAGCUGACUGGGAACCAGACUGCAUUCACUGAGCAAGUGGAGAAAGAUCUGUCUCUAGCCAGGGCAAAUUAUGACAUCAUCUUUUGGCAUUUUAAAUAUUCGACUGUUUACCUUGAAAAGCCUCUUGCCAUUCAUUUCUUUUCUAGGUUGAAUGGCGGAGGCUGACUUUCAGCUUGCAUUAAUUGCAACUCUUAAGGAAAGAAGACUUAUCUAACCCAUUUGAGAAAAACUGCUCAUGGAAUAUUGGGACGAAGCACUGGAACAGAAGACCACAGACCUGGGUUCCAGAUAACUCCAUCGUGAUGACCUGAAACAAUCCAGGACACGUUCCAGCCUCCAUUUCCUUGUCUGUGAGAUGGAUGGAGACAUCCCUAAGGCAUUGAAGCUGAACCCAUCGCCAGCCGUGAGACCUGAUGGGACCUCUCCUCUCCUUUGAAAGCCAGCUGAAUGCCGUUACUUCUUAGCCAGCCCGGAAGGGAUACGACUAGAAGAGCUACUCAACUGUUAAGAUGUUACAUUCCUAAAGCCCUGGCUGUAACCCACAGGGACUCCAGGCAAGAUAAUGUCCCAGCCACUUCACUCCUGGAUGACAUAGAAGUCACCUGGUGUCCUGCGGGUGGCAUGGCAUAGAGAAUGGAACUAAGGCCCCCUGCCCAGGUGGAGGAUGACAACUUCAGGCUGAGCACAAGAUUCCUGGAGCACCACCCUGUGACCUCACAGCAACCAAUCAGAAGAAAGUCACGCAACCUGCAGCCCUCACUCCACAUUUUGCCUGUAAAAACUUCUCCCUGAAAAUCAUCCAGGAGUUUGGGGGCUUUGAGCAUGAGACACCGUUCUGCCUGCUUGGCCCUCUAAUAAACUUUCUCGGCUCCAAAUUCCGACAUCUCUGUUUGCUUGGACUCAGCUCUUCAUGGGGCAUGUGAACUUGCAUUCGAUAACUCGUACAAGAAGAAACUUGGAUACACAGGGAGACAGCAGGAAUGCAGGUGCACAGAAGGAAGACUAUGUGAGGAUACAGGGAGAAGGCAGCCAUGUGCCAGCCAAGGAGGGAGGCCUCAGGAGAAGCCAAACUGGCCAACACCUUGGUCUUGGACUCCCAGCCUCCAGAAGUGUAAGAAAAUAAACGUCUGUUGUGUAGCCCCCUAGUCUGUGGUGUUUGGUCAUGGCAGCCUGGCAGACUGACACAGUGCCCCCCUCACAGGGCUUGAGUGUGUGGAGGAAGACAGACAAUAAUUACACAAUCAAUUCUUUCAUGACCACUGUGCCAGGUACUAGGAAGGGAAAGGACAGGGUGCUUUGAAGGCACCCAAAGAACAAAAUUGGGCAGAGGGAGUCCUGAAGCCCAGCCGCAGAGGGGCAGGGAGCUCAGAGAAGAGGCGGACCUGGGUGGACCCCGCAAGUGGUGGGCAGAGAGGCUGACCAAUGGGGAGCUCCAACUGCAGAGCCCCCUGACGUGGCCGGAUGAAGUCAUGCUCCAUCUCCCCGGCAGUGUGGAGCUAUUUCUGGUUUCCAAGCAGAGAAGAAGCACAAGGACAGCAGGACUUUGAGGAGAUUUUUCUUGCAGGCAUGUGCUGAGGGGCUGCAGGGCUCAAGGCAUGGAAAGAGGGGCACAGGGAGGAGGGCUGAACCAAGGUGGGGGCCGGCAGCAGGAUAAGAGGGGAGAGACUGCACACAGAAAGCAUUGUGAAGAAGUGACAGGUAUUGGUGAUUGACGGGAAGCUCUUUUUUAAUUGCCUUGUCCCUGCACCAGUCCAUCCAGUGAUGCUACUGACCUACAGGAAGGCCCUCCACAGACCCAUCUCCAGGGUCGGUGGUGACCAGGGCGCCCAGUGUCGUGUGAGGGCCUUAAAGACCAAAUGGGGAGUUUACCUGAUGCCUUCCUUCUCCAUCCCCUGGGUUGUACAGUGCUGAGACCCACAGAGCUUCCCAAAUCUGUGCAGUGGGUAUCAUCUGAACAGUGGUGGGAAGGUACUGAUCAUGGCUUGGAGACUCAGUAAGGAUACUUGGACAAUGUCCAUAAAGUCAUAUUCCAGAUUUCUCUCUAAGGAUCUUCCAGCAUCUUGCUGCAUUUUCAGCUGUUCACAGCGGGGAUGGGGGCGGGGGUUGGGUUAAAAAAAAAAAUUCUUGAAGGAACUGAACCUCCCAUAUCUCCCCAUGAAGGGACACUCCUAUCUGACUGACAGAAGUGGCCAGGAGUCGCUUAGAUCUGCUGGAAAGGAAAUGAAAACAGGAAAAAUACUGAGCUAACAUUUCAGAGUGCCUGGUGGCAGCCAAAGCCCAUUGACUUGCAGAAACAGCCAGAUGGAGAAAGCUGUAAGACAAUGUGUCCUGGACUGUCAAGUGCAGGAUGAAGUUUGUCACCAAUGUCAAGGAGGGGGGUUGCCAAGCCCCUGGUCAGGAAACCAUGGUUCUAUAAGCCAAAGUUCACAACUGUAGAGAGCUACCAAGGCCAAGACUACCACUGCAGGGCACAGACAGGAGAAUGUCAGCCUCAUCUGCCCUCCGUCAGUGGCUGAUGGCUAAUCUGGAGAUCAAGUUAGAGACACUGACCUACUGUAGAGCACAGGGAACUAUAUUCAAUUUCUUGUAAUAACAUAUAAUGGAAAAGAAUCGGAAAAGAAAAAAUAUAUAUGUAUGUAUAUGUGUAACUGAUCACUUUGCUGUACACCUGAAACUAACAUCAUAAAUCAACUACACUUCAAUAAAAAAAUU